CUUUACUGUAGCUUUACAUUGGACUUUGAACAGAUCUGUGUAGGAUAGGUGGGAGGCUUUGAAGCAGUGCCGCUAGGUGCUGUGGAGCCAACGUUGAAAUACCACCCUGGUGUGUUUGAGGUUCUAACCUUGGCCCGUUAUCCGGGUUGGGGACAGUGUAUGGUGGGCAGUUUGACUGGGGCGGUCUCCUCCCAAAGUGUAACGGAGGAGUUCGAAGGUACGCUAGGCACGGUCGGAAAUCGUGCUGAUAGUGCAUAGGCAUAAGCGUGCUUGACUGCGAGACUGACAAGUCGAGCAGGUACGAAAGUAGGACUAAGUGAUCCGGUGGUUCUGUAUGGAAGGGCCAUCGCUCAACGGAUAAAAGGUA
rnacentral:rRNA from 1 species